GUCCGAGCUUGAUAAACAUUUUGACACUAUUCAGCCUAUUGAUGAGGAAGCCGUCAAUGUCGAACCAUCCGAUUCAAAUCGUAAUGAUGAUUUGCCUGUUAAGGAUUCUAUAUCCCAAACGGGAGACGAUGUAACCCCUUGCUCAAAUGUUUUUAAAGUUGGCUUUACAACAUCGUUUGAUCAGAAGGAUGCUGACUUGGAUACGAACAGCGAACGUGACUUGAAGCGCAAUUUGAAUACCGUGU